rnacentral:rRNA from 1 species
UACGUAGGGACCAAGCGUUGUUCGGAUUUACUGGGCGUAAAGGGCGCGUAGGCGGCUUGUCAAGUCACUUGUGAAAUCUCUGGGCUUAACCCAGAACGGCCAAGUGAAACUGACAUGCUAGAGUGCAGAAGGGGCAAUCGGAAUUCUUGGUGUAGCGGUGAAAUGCGUAGAGAUCGGAAAGAACACCAACGGCGAAAGCACUCUGCUGGGCCGACACUGACACUGAGAGACGAAAGCUAGGGGAGCGAAUGGG